rnacentral:rRNA from 1 species
UACGUAGGUGGCAAGCGUUAUCCGGAAUUAUUGGGCGUAAAGCGCGCGCAGGCGGUUUCUUAAGUCUGAUGUGAAAGCCCACGGCUCAACCGUGGAGGGUCAUUGGAAACUGGGGAACUUGAGUGCAGAAGAGAAAAGCGGAAUUCCACGUGUAGCGGUGAAAUGCGUAGAGAAUGUGGAGGAACACCAGUGGCGAAGGCGACUCUUUGGCCUGUAACUGACGCUGAGGCGCGAAAGCGUGGGGAGCGAACAGG